AUGACGGGUGGCCAGGCUGGUGGGGACGGUCGUGAAGGGCCUUUGUGCUCCAGGCCUACCACACUCAGGGCAGACGGAGUACAGUGCUUCGGGUAUGGCGACUGCCCUAAUUCUCUGUGUUCCCAGAGACUUGGAACAUGAGGGAUUGAACUCAGGACCAUGAACUUGUAAGCUGAAUUCCCGACCUCCGCAGUGCUAUAAAUGAAAAAGUGCAGGGGUGUUGAGACAAAUCUGGAAAGAAAGCUUUUGGCUACAGCUGAGCUACGUGGCACAGAAAUGCAGUGGCUACAAAUAUGCAAGGAAG